rnacentral:rRNA from 1 species
CAAGUGACUAAGUGCACAUGGUGGAUGCCUUGGCGAUCACAGGCGAAGAAGGACGUAAUAGCUUGCGAAAAGCUGCGGGGAGUUGGCAAAUGAGCAUUGAUCCGCAGAUAUCCGAAUGGGGAAACCCACCUCUUUUUAGGAGGUAUCCUUAUCUGAAUACAUAGGGUGAGGAGGCGAACCGAGUGAACUGAAACAUCUAAGUAACUCGAGGAGAAGAAAUCAACCGAGAUUCUGAAAGUAGUGGCGAACGAAAUUGGAUGAGCCGCAACGAGAUAGUAAUUGUAGUAGUCGAACUUACUGGGAAGUGAGACCGUAGAGGGUGAUAGUCCUGUAGACGAAACUAUAGUUAUGGUACUAGGCGUUGCAACAAGUAGGGCGGGACACGUGUAAUCCUGUUCGAAGAUGGGGGGACCAUCCUCCAAGGCUAAAUACUCGUGAUCGACCGAUAGUGAACCAGUACCGUGAGGGAAAGGCGAAAAGAACCCCGGGAGGGGAGUGAAAUAGAACCUGAAACCGUGUGCAUACAAACAGUCGGAGCCCUAGACUUAAGGGUCCUGCAAUUUAGGGGUAAUUUACAAAUUUAGUAGGGUCUUUAAGUCUGGGGUGACGGCGUACCUUUUGUAUAAUGGGUCAGCGACUUACAUUCAGUGGCAAGCUUAACCGAAUAGGGUAGGCGUAGCGAAAGCGAGUCCGAAUAGGGCGUCUAUAGUCGCUGGGUGUAGACCCGAAACCAGAUGAUCUAUCCAUGGCCAGGUUGAAGGUGCCGUAACAGGUACUGGAGGACCCAACCCACUAAUGUUGAAAAAUUAGGGGAUGAGCUGUGGAUAGGGGUGAAAGGCUAAACAAAUCUGGAAAUAGCUGGUUCUCUCCGAAAACUAUUUAGGUAGUGCCUCAUGAAUAACUGUUGGGGGUAGAGCACUGUUAUGGCUAGGGGGUCAUGGCGACUUACCAAACCAUGGCAAACUCCGAAUACUGACAAGUUCGAUCAUGGGAGACAGAGCACUGGGUGCUAACGUCCAGACUCAAGAGGGAAACAACCCAGACCGCCAGCUAAGGUCCCUAAAAUUGGCUAAGUGGGAAACGAAGUGGGAAGGCAUAGACAGUCAGGAGGUUGGCUUAGAAGCAGCCACCCUUUAAAGAAAGCGUAAUAGCUCACUGAUCGAGUCGUCCUGCGCGGAAGAUGUAACGGGGCUAAGCCAGUUACCGAAGCUGCGGAUGCAUCCGCUCUUUUAAGUUUUUUGAAAAAAAGGAAUAAAGGUAAGAUUAACCUUAAUUGAAUUUUCAGAAGAUUUGAAAGAGCGGAUGCGUGGUAGGAGAGCGUUCUGUAAGCCAGAGAAGGUGAAUCGAGAGGUUUGCUGGAGGUAUCAGAAGUGCGAAUGCUGACAUGAGUAGCGAUAAAGGGAGUGAAAAGCUCCCUCGCCGUAAGUCCAAGGAUUCCUGCGCAACGUUCAUCGGCGCAGGGUUAGUCGGCCCCUAAGGUGAGGCAGAGAUGCGUAGCUGAUGGGAAGUGGGUUAAUAUUCCUACACCGGCUUGUGAUGUGAAGGGGGGACGGAUUGCGGAAUGUGUACGGGCUGUUGGAUAUGCUCGGUAUUGUAGCCAAGAAGUUGAUUAGGCAAAUCCGGUCAAAGGAUUCAAGGCUAUGAUUCGCAGAAGACUUAAGGUCUUUGAAGUCACAGGAAGUGGUUCCAGGAAAAGCCUCUAAGCGUUAAAUUACAAGUUGACCGUACCGCAAACCGACACAGGUGGACGGGAUGAAUAUUCCAAGGCGCUUGAGAGAACUCAGGAGAAGGAACUCGGCAAAUUGAUACCGUAACUUCGGGAGAAGGUAUGCCUUUGUAUGGUGAGUAGCCAGAAGAGGCCGCAGAGAAUAGGUGGCUGCGACUGUUUAUUAAAAACAUAGCACUCUGCAAACACGAAAGUGGAAGUAUAGGGUGUGACGCCUGCCCGGUGCUGGAAGGUUAAUUGAUGUGGUGAGAGCUAUUGAUCGAAGCCCCAGUAAACGGCGGCCGUAACUAUAACGGUCCUAAGGUAGCGAAAUUCCUUGUCGGGUAAGUUCCGACCUGCACGAAUGGCGUAACGAUGGCCACACUGUCUCCUCCUGAGACUCAGCGAAGUUGAAGUGUUUGUGAUGAUGCAAUCUCCCCGCGGCUAGACGGAAAGACCCCAUGAACCUUUACUGUAGCUUUACAUUGGAUCGUGAACCGGCCUGUGUAGGAUAGGUGGGAGGCGAAGAAGGAGGUACGCUAGUACUUUUGGAGCCGUCCUUGAAAUACCACCCUGGUUUGUUUGUGGUUCUAACCUUGGCCCAUGAUCUGGGUUGGGGACAGUGUAUGGUGGGCAGUUUGACUGGGGCGGUCUCCUCCCAAAGUGUAACGGAGGAGUUCGAAGGUACGCUAGGUACGGUCGGAAAUCGUGCUGAUAGUGCAUUGGCAAAAGCGUGCUUGACUGUGAGACAGACAAGUCGAACAGGUGCGAAAGCAGGACAAAGUGAUCCGGUGGUUCUGAAUGGAAGGGCCAUCGCUCAACGGAUAAAAGGUACUCUGGGGAUAACAGGCUGAUACCGCCCAAGAGUUCAUAUCGACGGCGGUGUUUGGCACCUCGAUGUCGGCUCAUCUCAUCCUGGGGCUGUAGCCGGUCCCAAGGGUAUGGCUGUUCGCCAUUUAAAGAGGUACGUGAGCUGGGUUUAAAACGUCGUGAGACAGUUUGGUCCCUAUCUGCCGUGGGCGUUGGAUACUUGACGGAGGCUGCUCCUAGUACGAGAGGACCGGAGUGGACGUACCGCUGGUGUAUCGGUUGUCAUGCCAAUGGCAUUGCCGAGUAGCUACGUACGGAAGAGAUAACCGCUGAAGGCAUCUAAGCGGGAAACUCGUCUGAAGAUAAGGUAUCCCUGAGCGUAAAGCUCCUUUUAAGGGUCGUUCGAGACUAGAACGUUGAUAGGCUGGGUGUGAAAGUGCAGUAAUGCAUGUAGCUAACCAGUACUAAUUGCCCGAGAGGCUUGA